UACGUAGGGUGCGAGCGUUAAUCGGAAUUACUGGGCGUAAAGCGUGCGCAGGCGGUGAUGUAAGACAGGUGUGAAAUCCCCGGGCUUAACCUGGGAACUGCAUUUGUGACUGCAUCGCUGGAGUGCGGCAGAGGGGGAUGGAAUUCCGCGUGUAGCAGUGAAAUGCGUAGAUAUGCGGAGGAACACCGAUGGCGAAGGCAGCUCUCUGGCCUCACCCUGACGCUGAGGCGCGAAAGCGUGGGGAGCGAACGGG
rnacentral:rRNA from 1 species